rnacentral:lncRNA from 1 species
UUCUACUUGCCAAGGUAGGGGUUACGUAUGUUGUUGUUGAAGAAGAAGCAUGUAGAAAGAGAGAUGUUUUGCUUUGUCUCAUAAGUAUUUGGUUAGCUUGCAAUAUUUUCAUGAAUGGAUGAUGAUUUGUGAGUGGUUAUUUAUGAGAGUUUUGCUUUGUCCUUUGAAAUCUCAUGGACACUAGUUUGAUUCAUGUACAGUCUCCAUACAUAGAGAUGAUGAAGAACAACUUCUUCUUUUUUCGAUCAUCAACUAAUGAUGCAAACAAGACCCCUUCACCACCAUUAAAGUCCAAGGAAGUUUCUUCUUGGAGGAGUGUUUCAUUGUCAUCUGGAUCCUUCUAUGACAGUGGGUCAGGAAAAAAGAAUUUCAUGGAUCUGAGCAAAUCUCCCCAUGGUCACAGUAAGAAAGUUCAUCCUAAGAAAUCUGGUCAUGAUUCAAGUCGG